CACCAUAUAAUAGGAGUUGUGGAGCAACAUAUAAUACGAUUCGUGGGUGCGGUUUAAAUUACCAAAUAGAAAUGUUUUGAGGGGCGCCAAAUUCGUUUCUCCCUCCUCUCGCUCUAGAAUGUCAGCAAUAAAAUCGAGCUCCAGGAAGAAGAAGACAACCACAGAAUCGGGAACUCCGAAGACGGAACUGAAACGAAUGACCGUGGAAGAAGAUGAUUUCGAUUUUGAUGCUGAUCAAUUGAAGCAGCGAGCUCCGAAGAAACAACGGUCCACUUUUGAAGAUGAUUUUGAUGCCGAUCUAUCUAGCGACAUUAAAGGUUUAAUGAGCGCCUUACAUCAGAUCAAAGAGAAAGCACAAAAGGACGGGCAGAAGAAAAAAGAGGAGACUAUUUCGAGUGUUGCUACAGAAAUCAGGUCCAAGUUUGAUGAGUUGAAGUCCAAAGUAGAGAAAGAAAGGCAAAACUUUGCCAAGGCACUAUCAAAGAGCUCACGAGAGUGUGAGAACUUGCUGAAGAAUGAGACCUCCAAGUUUCAAGCAGUUUAUGAAAAUUUUUGCAAGGACAAGAAUUCACAUCUUCAGGCUCUGAAAGAUAUCAUUACAAAAUAUGAAGAAGAGAAGGAGAGAUUGUUUAUGAGAUACGAACAACACAGAAAGAAAGAAAAGAGCAUGAUAUCCGAGCACGAGAAAGCUUGUGCAACCAAAAUUUCUGAACUGGAGGAGUCACUGAAGAAAAAGAAGCAGGAUGACAAAACAUUCAGCAUUCUACGGAAAACUCUAGGCUCUUUUCUUGACAAUGCCUCUGAUGAGGACUUCCCACCUGACGAUUGAAGCCAAAAUCUGGAAACAUAGUAUCUGCAGAAUCUCGUUGGUUAGGGUAGAUUUUGUAGAUUGCUUAAAGAAUAUGGUGGAUACAUUGUGAUAACUGGAUCCUGGUUAUCAACUAAGGAAAUGCUGAAGGUAAGGGGAAAGGGAAAAUGUGAUAAUUUCCCUAUAUGUUUACCUGCAUGAGGAUUGGAUGAUGAUAUGUAUAGUUUUGAUAGAUGAACUUUGAUUAGUACAAGAAUUUGUAUUUUGAAUUUUGGGACCAUGUA